AGGCGGAUCUNUGGGCCGUAACUGACGCUGAGGAGCGAAAGCAUGGGGAGCGAACAGGAUUAGAUACCCUGGUAGUCCAUGCCGUAAACGUUGGGCGCUAGGUGUGGGGCUCAUUCCACGAGUUCCGUGCCGCAGCAAACGCAUUAAGCGCCCCGCCUGGGGAGUACGGCCGCAAGGCUAAAACUCAAAGGAAUUGACGGGGGCCCGCACAAGCGGCGGAGCAUGCGGAUUAAUUCGAUGCAACGCGAAGAACCUUACCAAGGCUUGACAUACAGAGUAAUCCGGCAGAAACGUCGGGUCCGCAAGGGAUUCUGUACAGGUGGUGCAUGGUUGUCGUCAGCUCGUGUCGUGAGAUGUUGGGUUAAGUCCCGCAACGAGCGCAACCCUCGUUCUAUGUUGCCAGCACGUAAUGGUGGGGACUCAUAGGAGACUGCCGGGGUCAACUCGGAGGAAGGUGGGGAUGACGUCAAAUCAUCAUGCCCCUUAUGUCUUGGGCUUCACGCAUGCUACAAUGGCCAGUACAAAGGGCUGCGAGACCGCAAGGUGGAGCGAAUCCCAAAAAACUGGUCUCAGUUCGGAUUGGGGUCUGCAACUCGACCCCAUGAAGUCGGAGUCGCUAGUAAUCGCAGAUCAGCAACGCUGCGGUGAAUACGUUCCCGGGCCUUGUACACACCGCCCGUCAAGUCACGAAAGUCGUANCACCCGAAGCCGGUGGCCCNACCCUUG
rnacentral:rRNA from 1 species